UAGAUCAAUGAUACAAAAUCUGGUAGAUCUAACCAAGCUAUGACAUGGCCUGGAAAACAAGGGUUUUCUAAAGUUUCUCAUAGAGGAGGCAAGCGGUCUGGGUCGGUUGAAACAAUUACAAAGCCCCCUGGCACUCAGACAUCCACAUGUAGAACUGUAGUUGGUAACUAAGAGAAUGAGUUCUUCGUGGAAAGAAGAUGCUAGGAGUUCUACUGCUGGAUCAAUGAGUGCUAACAAGACCUCUGUUGGUUCUUCCCGCAAUCGAAGGUCAAGUAAUGGAUUGUUGGCAAUUGGUGUUUCUGGAGUUCAGAAGGAAACUAAUUUGGUUAAGGCUGGCUCUGUUAACAGGAGUGCGCCUAUUGAUCUUAUUGAUUCUUUCAUCAACUUUUUCCUUUCCAAUUUGAUUACUGCGCUCAACAGGAUUUUGAGUAUUGAUCUUAUUGAUUAUUGAUUCUUUCAUCAACUUUUUUUCUUUCCCAUUUGAUUUCUGCGCUCAACGGGAUUAUGGUGGAGAAGAUCGUGCCCCCUUCAAAGACCUCAGCUGGGAUCUUGCUUCCCGAGAAAACCGCCAAGGCAUAUUGCAUACAAUUGUAUUUAACACAGCACUAGGACUUGUUCGGCCAAACGAUGUAGAUUGUGAACUUUUUGAAAUUACUUAUAGUUAACUGAGUAACAUGAACCCAUGCUUGCAAGGAAUCCCAAAAACAAAGAGAGGUAACUUUUACUUUAAAUGAAAUAUUCCAUGUUUUGCGACAAUCUGAGAAUUCUCUUCUGCAGCCUCAACUGACGCAAGCCUAGCACGAAGAGAAAUUUGUCGCUGUUAUGAUUCACCCAACGUAUGUGUGAAUGAAAAGUGCCAGCUGCAACUUCCUCUCUUGAACUCAAGAUUGCAGAUGAACCUGUGUCAAAGCUGCUUUUAGGCAGGAGCUGACACCAGUGAAACUGAUAGAGAUGGAAAUACAGUGUUCCACUUGUGCCUGAAAGCAAGUCCUUUUCGUUGGAAUUUAAGGUAAACUAAAAGCUGCUAGAACAUAACUUAUGUUUGCACUCAUUUACACAAUGUUUUACUUGUGUGGUAUUUUUUUGUAGGCUUGGGUGGCUCUCUCUCAACCAUGGUGCCAAAGUAUCUCAACAGAAUCUGUUACGACUUACAACAGUUCAUCCGUGGUAGAGACAUGUAACUGAAUCUCUGGAAAUAAAGACUGAUAGAUUUGAUAGGUUCACAAGACAUCCACUUCAUUAUCAACCCCGCAAACCAAGGAUUUGUAUUUCAUGAGAGGACAUUCAAGUAGACCAUAAUCAUGGCAUAUUUUGGGUUGCGAACAAGGAGUUAAUUGAGUUACAUGUACCUAUGUUUGCAAGUUAUCCCCAAAACAGAGAGAGCCUCAAACUGAUGCAAUCUUAGCACGAAGAUGGAGGUUUUUUCCUGAUUCACUGUCAUUAUUUUCCGUCACUUGUGCGAGAGGUGUCAUUGCAACUUUGCCCAUGGGGAGGGUGAGCUGAGUCAUGGCUCGCUUGAACCCAAGUAGUGUCUCCUUUCAGAACCUUUAAUAGGUAAGUAAUUCU